rnacentral:rRNA from 1 species
AGCGAACGCUGGCGGCGUGCUUAACACAUGCAAGUCGAGCGAGAAAGUCCCGCAAGGGAUGAGUACAGCGGCGAACGGGUGCGUAAUACGCGGGCAAUCUGUCCUUGAGGUGGGAAUAACCCAGCGAAAGUUGGGCUAAUACCGGAUAAGACCACGGGAGGAAACUUCUGAGGUCAAAGGCAGCCUUCUUUUGGAGGCAGUCCUUCGAGGAGGAGCCACGUCCUAUCAGCAGUUGGUAGGGUAACGGCCUACCAAGGCAAAGAACGGGUAGGCUGGUCUAAGAGGAUGAUCAGCCACACGGGGACGUGAGACACGG